GAAGGUGGCCUGUGAGGGUUGCUGGAGGUAUCAGAAGUGCGAAUGCUGACAUAAGUAACGAUAAAGCGGGUGAAAAGCCCGCUCGCCGGAAGACCAAGGGUUCCUGUCCAACGUUAAUCGGGGCAGGGUGAGUCGACCCCUAAGGCGAGGCCGAAAGGCGUAGUCGAUGGGAAACGGGUUAAUAUUCCCGUACUUGGUGUUACUGCGAAGGGGGGACGGAGAAGGCUAUGUUGGCCGGGCGACGGUUGUCCCGGUUUAAGCGUGUAGGUGUGUGUUCCAGGUAAAUCCGGUUCACUUUAACACUGAGGCGUGACGACGAGGCACUACGGUGCUGAAGCAACAAAUGCCCUGCUUCCAGGAAAAGCCUCUAAGCAUCAGGUAACAUCAAAUCGUACCCCAAACCGACACAGGUGGUCAGGUAGAGAAUACCAAGGCGCUUGAGAGAACUCGGGUGAAGGAACUAGGCAAAAUGGUGCCGUAACUUCGGGAGAAGGCACGCUGACAUGUAGGUGAAGUGAUUUACUCAUGGAGCUGAAGUCAGUCGAAGAUACCAGCUGGCUGCAACUGUUUAUUAAAAACACAGCACUGUGCAAACACGAAAGUGGACGUAUACGGUGUGACGCCUGCCCGGUGCCGGAAGGUUAAUUGAUGGGGUCAGCGCAAGCGAAGCUCCUGAUCGAAGCCCCGGUAAACGGCGGCCGUAACUAUAACGGUCCUAAGGUAGCGAAAUUCCUUGUCGGGUAAGUUCCGACCUGCACGAAUGGCGUAAUGAUGGCCAGGCUGUCUCCACCCGAGACUCAGUGAAAUUGAACUCGCUGUGAAGAUGCAGUGUACCCGCGGCAAGACGGAAAGACCCCGUGAACCUUUACUAUAGCUUGACACUGAACAUUGAGCCUUGAUGUGUAGGAUAGGUGGGAGGCUUUGAAGUGUGGACGCCAGUCUGCAUGGAGCCGACCUUGAAAUACCACCCUUUAAUGUUUGAUGUUCUAACGUGGACCCGUGAUCCGGGUUGCGGACAGUGUCUGGUGGGUAGUUUGACUGGGGCGGUCUCCUCCUAAAGAGUAACGGAGGAGCACGAAGGUUGGCUAAUCCUGGUCGGACAUCAGGAGGUUAGUGCAAUGGCAUAAGCCAGCUUGACUGCGAGCGUGACGGCGCGAGCAGGUGCGAAAGCAGGUCAUAGUGAUCCGGUGGUUCUGAAUGGAAGGGCCAUCGCUCAACGGAUAAAAGGUACUCCGGGGAUAACAGGCUGAUACCGCCCAAGAGUUCAUAUCGACGGCGGUGUUUGGCACCUCGAUGUCGGCUCAUCACAUCCUGGGGCUGAAGUAGGUCCCAAGGGUAUGGCUGUUCGCCAUUUAAAGUGGUACGCGAGCUGGGUUUAGAACGUCGUGAGACAGUUCGGUCCCUAUCUGCCGUGGGCGCUGGAGAACUGAGGGGGGCUGCUCCUAGUACGAGAGGACCGGAGUGGACGCAUCACUGGUGUUCGGGUUGUCAUGCCAAUGGCACUGCCCGGUAGCUAAAUGCGGAAGAGAUAAGUGCUGAAAGCAUCUAAGCACGAAACUUGCCCCGAGAUGAGUUCUCCCUGAGACUUUAAGUCUCCUGAAGGAACGUUGAAGACGACGACGUUGAUAGGCCGGGUGUGUAAGCGCAGCGAUGCGUUGAGCUAACCGGUACUAAUGAACCGUGAGGCUUAACCUUACAACGCCGAAG
rnacentral:rRNA from 2 species